GAGUUUGAUUAUGGCUCAGGAUGAACGCUGGCGGCAUGCUUUACACAUGCAAGUUGAACGAAUUAAAGUUUUCGAAUUUUAGUUAAGUAGCGAACGGGUGAGUAAAACGUAAGAAUCUAUUUUUAGGUGAGGAAUAACUAAUGGAAACGUUAGCUAAUACCUUAUAAACUGAGAAGUGAAAAACCAAAGAUUGCCUAAAAGUGAGCUUGCGCCUGAUUAGCUUGUUGGUAAGAUAAUCGCUUACCAAAGCGACGAUCAGUAGUUGAUCUAAGAGGAUAAUCAACCACACUGGGACUGAGAUACGGCCCAGACCUCUACGGAGGGCAGCAGUGAGGAAUUUUCCGCAAUGGGCGAAAGCCUGACGGAGCAAUGCCGCGUGAAGGAUGAAGGCCUAUGGGUCGUAAACUUCUUUUCUUAAUGAAGAAAUAAGACGGUAAUUAAGGAAUAAGCAUCGGCUAACUCCGUGCCAGCAGCCGCGGUAAUACGGAGGAUGCAAGCGUUAUCCGGAAUUAUUGGGCGUAAAGGGUUUGUAGGCUACUUUUUAAGUCUGCUGUUAAAGAAUAAGACUUAACCUUAGAAAAGCAGUAUGAAACUAAAAGGAUAGAGUUCAGUAGGGGUAGAGGGAAUUCUCGGUGUAGUAGUGAAAUGCGUAGAUAUCGAGAGGAACACCAAUAGCGAAAGCACUCUACUAGGCUGUAACUGACGCUAAGAAACGAAAGCUAGGGGAGCCAAUGGGAUUAGAUACCCCAGUAGUCCUAGCUGUAAACGAUGGAUACUAAGUAUUGGAUAAUAAAAAAUUCAGUGCUGUAGCUAACGCGUUAAGUAUCCCGCCUGGGGAGUAUGCCCGCAAGGGUGAAACUCAAAGGAAUUGACGGGGGCCCGCACAAGCGGUGGAGCAUGUGGUUUAAUUCGAUGCACGCGAAAAACCUUACCAGGAUUGACAUCCCAUA
rnacentral:rRNA from 1 species